ACUCCAUCUUCCUUCGGUUUCUGGAAUACAGUAGGAAGUUCCCACUGAUUUUAUCUUGAUUUUUUUGCACACUCCCACAAUCAUCAACAGCAUUACAUCCACAAAUAAACAUGCAUUUAGGUACUCAUAUGUGCCUACACACAGUAUGCCAAUCUUAUAGUGUAACUCAUGCUCACUCACAUACACACAUUAUCUUGUCUAUGAUGCCUCCAGGGGUGAGGUUUAGGCUGGGGCUGUAAGGCCCAGGGGUCUUUGAACUUGUCUAAGCAAACUUGCUAAAAACGUUCAGAUGCCCAGGGCCUAUCCAAGAUGUACAGGAUCAAAGUCUCGGAAGGUACUCAAGAAUCUGCACGUUCGUGUGUUCUUGCAGUGAGUGUACUGAAACCAGUCCACUCUGCUGCAGGUGAUGAGCAAACAGGCACUGACAGCAUGACUCCCUGCCCACUCUGGGGGAACAGAGGUCCAGGAAAUGCUUUGGAAAAAAAAAUGUUUGUUUGGAAAAGUUGUAUACUAUAACCACUGCCACUCCCUCCUUAAGGAUUCACUCUGUCUAUCAAAGGCUCUGACAAGUUCUGCAGUACAGAAUCCUGCUUUCUAAGCCCUGGCGGGGUGGCUCAGUUGUUGGAGCAUCAACCUGCACACCAAAAGGUGGCUGGUUCGAUCCCCUGUCAGGGCAUAUGCCUAGGUUUCAAGCUCCAUUCCUGGUCAGGGAGGCAACCGAUGAGUGGAAGGCAACCAAUGAAUGAUCGAUUUUCUCUCUGUAUCUCAAAAUCAAUAAAAAUAUAUCCUCAGGACUAGACUGUGAGUGGAGGACUAUCAGUGGACUUCUACACAAAGAAAACUUUCCCCCUGCCUAGUAUUAGGAAGAGGGGAAGAAUUGGAAGGAGGGGACAUAAGAGACUUAAAAAUUCCCUUUGUCAUAAUAGGAAAGAAUAACAUCUAAAACCACCAUGAGAAAGAAACAUACUUACAUCACUGAGAAAGGAAAAGAACUGGAGGUGGUUUCCUUUGGGGUGGGGAAUGCACUGGUAGUUUUUGUGUAAGACUUUGAAUUUAUCAUUUUUUAUGUAUUAAAUGCAUGUAUUACUAUAAUAGAAGCUAAAUUUUAAAAU